GACACGCCGAACUCUUCGCAGUAAGCGUCGAUCAGCUCUUUCAGCUCCAGAACGGACAGCUCCUUGACGGAGUCGAUGAUGGCAGUAAUCUUCUCAGAAGCCAUGGUAAUAACCCUCCAAUAUAAAUGGUUUUGUUUGUGGAUGUCUUGUUUUGUUUAAGCAGCAGUCAC
rnacentral:misc_RNA from 1 species